CGGCAAACGGGUGCGGAACACGUACGCAACAUACCCUUGUCUGGGGCAUAGCCCGAAGAAAUUCGGAUUAACACCCCAUAAGAUCAUAGAAUGGCAUCAUUUAGUGAUUAAAAAUUUAUUGGACAGGGAUUGGCGUGCGUCCUAUUAGCUAGUUGGUAAGGGUAACGGCCUACCAAGGCGACGAUAGGUAGCUGGUGUGAGAGCACGACCAGCCACACGGGCACUGAGACACGGGCCCGACUCCUACGGGAGGCAGCAGUGAGGAAUAUUGGUCAAUGGACGCAAGUCUGAACCAGCCAUGCCGCGUGAAGGAUGAAGGCGUUCUGCGUUGUAAACUUCUUUUGCGGGGGAAGAAACCUGAUUUUUCUAAAUCAGCCGACGGUACCCCGAGAAUAAGCACCGGCUAACUCCGUGCCAGCAGCCGCGGUAAUACGGAGGGUGCAAGCGUUAUCCGGAUUUACUGGGUUUAAAGGGUGUGUAGGCGGACUUUUAAGUCAGCGGUGAAAUCUCCGGGCUCAACCCGGAAACUGCCAUUGAUAC
rnacentral:rRNA from 1 species